CCUACGGUGGCAGCAGUGGGGAAUAUUGGACAAUGGGCGAAAGCCUGAUCCAGCCAUGCCGCGUGUGUGAAGAAGGCCUUCGGGUUGUAAAGCACUUUCAGUGGGGAAGAAAGCCUUGGGGCUAAUACCCUCGAGGAAGGACAUCACCCACAGAAGAAGCACCGGCUAACUCCGUGCCAGCAGCCGCGGUAAUACGGAGGGUGCGAGCGUUAAUCGGAAUUACUGGGCGUAAAGCGCGCGUAGGCGGUCUGAUAAGCCGGUUGUGAAAGCCCCGGGCUCAACCUGGGAACGGCAUCCGGAACUGUCAGGCUAGAGCGCAGGAGAGGAAGGUAGAAUUCCCGGUGUAGCGGUGAAAUGCGUAGAGAUCGGGAGGAAUACCAGUGGCGAAGGCGGCCUUCUGGACUGACACUGACGCUGAGGUGCGAAAGCGUGGGUAGCAAACAGGAUUAGAUACCCGAGUAGUC
rnacentral:rRNA from 1 species